AACGCAUAUUUGAUAAUGGUCCAUAAUGAUGUGAUUGUGGUCAUAAAAAGAGUUCUAAACAUGUUGUAAACUGAAAUUUUUAGGUAAAGAGUCCGGAUCGUCAAGCGGACAAGCCGAAAGGAAUCCACGGGGAAAGGGUGUGCUCUAAAGUUUCAGGUACCCAAGAAAAAGGAUGAUGAUCAAGCAAUCGAGUCGAACCGAACACACAUAUUAUAACGCUUCCGCACUUGAUAUUUUGUUUUGUAACUAUGUAAACACUCGUAGUUUUACCUUGAACAUCGUUUAGUAGGUUAAACAUGUGAAUGUUGUAACUAGUUGGUUCUCAAAUCUUGAAAGUUUUUGUAAAGUCUACUUUUGGCAUAAAUUGUAAGUCUUACAUGUUGUUAAA